AUGUCAAUAUUUACCCCAUCAGCUUCAACAACUACAAUGGGACCAAGGGCUACCACGAAACAGGUGACAACACCUCCAACUCUUACUACCCCUUAUGUGGACCCACCUUUUGGUACUAAACCCCUGGAAAGUGGAUUUGCAAUUCUUCAGGUCGCUGUCCAAUCUUAUCAGGAGCUAAAUGAGACAACAGCUGAUCCAGUCUUGAGUAAGGUAAAACAACAAAAAAAUCAAUCUUUAUAUCCCGGGUAGCAUAUUUUAUAUAAAGUUCCAAUGCAUAUGAUUGAUCUAUUAUACAAUUAUUUAUAUUGGAAAAUAAGAUCUAGAGUAGAUGAGCUUGAGUUGAACUAAAUAGUGAUCUAUUUUCUCUACUAGAUCUACGACAUCGUUCGGGCGAAGCGACCUGAUCUGAAAUUUCGACUGACCGUGAAAACUGUCCAGAAAGUUUGAUGGAUUAUGAUCCAAGGCAUAGCAGAUUGAAGUUCUAGUGGUACAUCAUGUUCUGCAGAUUAAGAUUUUCAAUGAUUUUAUGCUGUUUAUCAGUCAUUAUAUUCAUGUUAAUAAUAUAUUUGAAUGUAUAAUUUCAUUGACUUACUGACUUGCUGCACGUUCCAAUCACCAUCUGGGGGAGGAGCUGUAAUUCAAGAGUUAUGUCACAACUUUUCCCACUUUCAUAGAAUCUUGUCAUCUGCUUCCAGUGUUUUCUGAUGGAUUUGAUGUUGGACUGAAUAGUCCUAACUACUGUAAUAUUUUCUUUGGCUAUAAACAUGUUACAAAUACUGCAACUGUCUGUUCUCACAGUCAUGUUAAUUCAAUGGAUCUGACUUCAGUCUUUUUUAAAAUAUCAAACAUAAGGUGACUUCCCUGAAAAGAACAGUCCAACCCAACCCCCCAAAAAUGUAUAUAUAAUUUUUUUUCAU
rnacentral:lncRNA from 1 species